rnacentral:pre_miRNA from 1 species
UAUGUACUCCCUCCGUCCGAAAAUACUUGUCCUAGAAAUGGUUGUAUCUAGACUUAUUUUAGUUAUAGAUACAUCCAUUUUCAACCAUUUUUAAGACAAGUAUUUCCGGACGGAGGGAAUAGCAC